rnacentral:rRNA from 1 species
GACGAACGCUGGCGGCGUGCUUAACACAUGCAAGUCGAACGGUGAAGCGCCUUCCUUUUUGGUGGGUGUGGAUGAGUGGCGAACGGGUGAGUAACACGUGAGUAACCUGCCCCCUUCUUCUGGAUAACCGCAUGAAAGUGUGGCUAAUACGGGAUAUUCUGGGUCUGUCGCAUGAUGGGUCUGGGAAAGAUAUUGUUUCGGUGGGGGAUGGGCUCGCGGCCUAUCAGCUUGUUGGUGGGGUGAUGGCCUACCAAGGCGGUGACGGGUAGCCGGCCUGAGAGGGUGGACGGUCACACUGGGACUGAGACACGGCCCAGACUCCUACGGGAGGCAGCAGUGGGGAAUAGUGCACAAUGGGCGCAAGCCUGAUGCAGCGACGCCGCGUGAGGGAUGGAGGCCUUCGGGUUGUGAACCUCUUUCGCCAGUGAAGCAGGCCUGCCUCGUUUGUGGGUGGGUUGACGGUAGCUGGAUAAGAAGCGCCGGCUAACUACGUG